GAGUUUGAUCCUGGCUCAGGACGAACGCUGGCGGCGUGCCUAACACAUGCAAGUCGAGCGGAAAGGCUCCUUCGGGAGUACUCGAGCGGCGAACGGGUGAGUAACACGUGGGUAAUCUGCCCAGGACACAGGAAUAACCAGUGGAAACGCUGGCUAAUGCCUGAUGAAGUGCCGGCCCUGCGGGGCUUGGUACCAAAGGUAGCUUCGGCCUCCGGUCUUGGAUGAGCCCGCGGCCCAUUAGCUUGUUGGCGGGGUAACGGCCCACCAAGGCGACGAUGGGUAGCUGGUCUGAGAGGACGAUCAGCCACACUGGGACUGAGACACGGCCCAGACUCCUACGGGAGGCAGCAGUGGGGGAAUCUUGCGCAAUGGGCGAAAGCCUGACGCAGCAACGCCGCGUGC
rnacentral:rRNA from 1 species